AACUAGUGGAUGAAUGACAACGUAGAUCAGUCCCCUAAUUUGAUUACAGUUUUAUGCAUUCAUCCAAGAAAAAAAAAAUGUUGCAAAUAUUAUUCCUUUUCAGAUAGUGCAGAUAAAUUUAAAUAUUAAGCAGGGUAUUCAUCAGUAUCAGAUUACCUUGAAGGAUUAAGAGACAAGGAUCCCAGCAUAAGGACAGGUAGAUUCCUCCAUAGGAUACUUCCAAUAACACAUAGUUUUAGGGUCUCUGUGAUGUCUCCUAGAAAAACCCCACUGCACCACCACAGAAGAAACCAAGCCUAGUCAUCAAAUUUCCCCUCUCUUUUGCCACCUGUCUUAUACACAAAUGAGUUUCAACAACUUUGUUGAAGCAUUUACAAUGGAACAAACCGGAAUUUUAUUUUGAAUUCCCAGUAGCCUGCCUUUUACCCUUUGUCCUUAUCACAGAGCAGACUGCAUUGGAAAGGACAGAGAUUUAUUCUGAAAUAUUUUUUUUUCAUUUCUUUUUAGGUCUGAUAGGUGAUGAUUUUAAAUGUUUGUGCUUUUGGUACUUACACAUAGUAAAUGAUAAAUUAUAUGUUACAACAACAAUUCCAUGAAGCUGAAUUACUUUUUUAGUGAAUUUAUUGCCUUGAAAGGUAACAGAUUGAUAACACAAGAGAAUUAAAUCCUCUCUUUAUCCCCAGAGCAAGAAUAAUAUGGGCAUUACAAAUAUUUUCCAAGGCUAUAAAUCAGGUAUGGCACCCAAACUAUCAUCCACAGGGACCUACUACUCCUUGCUUUUUUCCUUCUUUUUUUCUUCCUCUAGGGUAGUAGUACAGCUUAUGAACUUCUCUUUAUGAACUUCUCUUUUCUGUAUUAAACAGCAAUUAUCAAUUUUUUAUAUUAGAACAGGUAUGUAGGGAAUUUUUGUUGGUGGUUAGUGAUGCCUUGGAAGGUAGAGCAGGAGCCUCUGAAAUACAGGUCCUAAACAACACACUUUCAGCUGUGAACGGGAAAAUCUUCACAUUUUAUGGAAACGGUUUUUCCAAAAUAUCAGCAAGCUCAAAAUAGUCACCAAGUUCAGCCCACCCUGGAAAUAACUGAAACUAGAUAAAUGAUCUUAGAAUCAUAGGAUCAUUAAGGUUGGAAAAGACCACUAAGAUCAUCUAGUCCAGUCAUAAAUGCAUCACCACCGUAUAGGGCUGUUUUCCUCUGGUACAUUCACUCCACUGAUUUCAGUAAUUCAUUUAUGUAAUUUGUACACAUCAUCUCAUGGAAAAAGCAAGUUAUCAACAGUGAUCUCGGAAAGACCUCACAAGAGCAAAGGGCCAAUUUGCAGACAGUCCAAUCAUUUAUUUCUAUAAGGCUUCCUCUUUUCAGUACUCUCAGCCAGAGGUUUUCCAGAUUCCAUGCUUUCAACUUUUGAGAUGGGUUAAAAAAAUAUCAACCCAUUACCAAAUUUUUUCUGAAGAAAAUUAUGUAGCGGGAAAAGCAGAUGUUGAAUAAAAACAGUAGCACUCCAAACACAUUAUUUCAGCUCUUAAAAAUAACAGUUGUCUUAUAAAUUCAUCUCUCAUGAAGAGAUCUCGUCUCACUCACCUACCUGUGAAAACCUAGUGAAAUAAAAUUAACAGAAUAAUGUUUAUCAUAACAUCUUAAAGUAAAUGAACAUUCUAAAGUUUUUAUGUCAUUUUUUUCCACGCUAAGGUGAGAAUUCAUACCAAAUAUCACACAAAUUGGAGAUACUUCAUUUUACAAACCUGUUUUGCUUUCCUGGCAAUAGAUAAUGGGCUGCUAUUAAGUAAUUGUGUUGCUUAAAUGUAAUUAUUGUCCCUCAAACAAGCCUCCACCAGGCUAUUUUUUUGAAUGCUUCCUUUCUUUGGGCCCAACUUCUCCGUUAUCCAUUUCAAAAAGCAUGGGCAUUUUUAUGACCUCAUUUCAGAUUAGUUUUUCUUAGUCACUUUUUAAGGGAAAUUUCACCUUGAGUACAAGAGCCCUUGGCUUCUAACAUUCAUAAGAUUCAGAUAUUGCCUAGAGUCAGUAAUUACCAUUGCUCACUACUGCAGUUGCUUUUCCAUCCAUUCACUUUUACUGGCAAUACGAGAUUUGCUGUUAACUAUCCAGCAAUUCCUUGGUUGCUGCUUCUGAGUGUUCAUGAAAACAGUAUAAAUGUAGUAGAGAAAAUAUUUCAUUUUCCAGCUUUAAGGUUUAUCUCAGCUCAAACUGAUGCAAUACAAGCACUGAAAUUAGUAGUUUGCCACAGCAAAUAUCAUAUAAGCAUUAUGGUACCUAUUUAUAUAAAACGAAGGAAAAUGUUUUUGCUUAUUAGAUACUUUAAUCACAUUAACUCAUUCAGAUUUUAGAGCAUUAAUGUCACAGGUUAGGUUUUACACAGCUGACUACCUAUUAAUUGAAUACUCUAAUUCAGCCUCUAAUUCUGCCUUUUAACGGUUGAAAGCCCAUUAAAGCACCUAUUUCUCUAAUAGCUGUGUAGAAAAGUUAAUGUUUGUUGCUGUUUCAACCCGACUGAAUCUUCUGCUCAUCUUCCAGCUGAGCACUCUGCUGUGCACUUUUUAGUUUGAGUUUGGUGCCAGAGCACCACAAAGCACUUUUUAAGUAUGUUGGUGAUGGAAACAAGGUGUGCUUGCUGUGUGUGUAAAGCAUCCACAAGAAAGCACUCCUCUUACAGUUUUCUCUCAGCACAUACUGUUCAUCUGAUAUCAUUUAUUGAUCUAAAAUAAUGGCCUGCAGCUUCUUUACAAACUAAAAAAUACCAAAAUUAGGGCCACACCCUUUGCCUAUUCAGCUCAGCAGACUGAACAAAGCUAAACAGUUUCAGAAGCAUGCACAGGAGAUACGAAAGCAUUUUCCUCCAGCACACAGAGACUUCUAAAAUACUCUGGUUCAAGAUGAAGCAAGUCAAGUUACAGGACAGUUCUCUUCUUUCAACUAUUAAAAAAAAAAAAAAGAACAGAUCUUUUGCACCUGCCAAGAUUGCUUUUGACUUCUAUGCUGUGAACUUGUAAACACUGCAGGCGAUGGCAUCUCACUAAAGAGGCUAAAUGCCUACGUGAAAACCAAGAACUUGCACAUCCUUUUGAGGUGUAAUGGAUAUAAAAAUAUUUAAGACACAAGCCAACUACUGCUUAGAUGAAGAAGAAACUUCUCCAGUGAACCUGUUAUUCCCUGGGUGCUCAUUAUAGUUUGCUGAACUUUACUUUCCUUGGAAGCAGCUGGGCUGGCCUGUGCUCAGCAAGAUGAACAACAGUCUGGCUUGUCACAUCGCCAGUAAGUCUCUCACAUUCGCAGUGGGUCACGGAGCAGAAAUCAGUUGUUUCAUGGUGCAGGAACCAUUGUGUUAACCAUUAUUUCUGCCAUUGGAUAAAUGGCUUCCCCGUGUAAGUAGCCAGGCAUAUGGUGCCAGGGCUGAACCAAUGAGGGGUAAGACACAUCAGUUAUGAGUAUGAAAAUGCUCAACAGCCAUUUCGGGAAAUCACAGCCCAUUUUACUGCACGGCUUGAUAGGUCUAAGAAACUAACUCCUAUUAUACUACUCUUCUCUAUUUUUUUUAUUUAAUUAAAUUAUUUGCAAGGUGAACAGAUUAAUAAAUGAUUCAGUUUCAUAAACUCACAAAGUCAUGAUAGCCCAUGAGGUUCUUAACAAGAAGUGGGAACGUCUUGCAGCACUUUCUGGUUUUCUUCAAACUCUGAGUUCUAAGAGAGGCUCUUUGAUUACAAAAGACAAUCAAACUUUGCUCUUUUUGUUGAAAUUAUUGUGAAUUUAAUUGAUUCUGUGAGAUGAAUUAUGAAGACAACUUUAUCACACGUUUCUCUGAGACAGACUUGCCAAAGAACAUGUAGCACAGGAAAAAAAGAAAAAGGAUUUUUUCCUGGUAUACCAAUAUGAAUCCAUGUUCUAUUGCCCUAAGUCACACUGAUAGUGCUACCAGAAUGUCCCAAAGAGAAGAUAAAACUCGAAAGAAUCACAUAACCUCUAGCUUCAUGGAAUAUACAGACAGAUUUCAGCCUUUUGAGGGACUUUGAUUAUUUUGGAAAGUGAAGACAAGAUGUACACGCUAUCUGAUCCAACAGCAUGCCAAAGGCAGUGAAUAAAAGCAUUGGUGGCCCAGAAGGACUCAUCAGGAAUUUCUGGAAUACCUGCAGAGUUUCAGCAAUGCUUACAAAUUGCAAAUGUCAUAUUGUGAUAGACUGCAAAUAAUUAAAAAUGGCUAAAUGUACUACUUAUAAAUGGGCUUGUUGAAAACUUUGAUCACAGACAGAAAGGAAUUCUUUUAAAAACCUACUGUUAACAGUAGGUAAAAAGUUAAUGAGAAACAUGUAAAUAAUUAAUUCUUCCUCUAGAGCCAGAACAGAUUUGUAGUUACUGUUAAUGGACUCACAAUGUUGGUUGCGUUGUAUUUUCUGAAGCAAGUACUGGAUUACUUGAUCUCCAUACAAAAAAAAAGUUAUUACACCAAUAACUUUAUUUGGUUUUGUAUUCUCAAUAAAAGUCUUUUCCUGGGUUACCUUAAGAGACUUGCUUUGAAGAUAGAAGAGCUAAUCUGACACUUCAAAAUAAGCAAGAUGAUCAAAUAGAACAUAUUUUCAGAAAACUAUUGAAGAAAACCAUGCAAAAAAUGCCUGGUACUUGAUAUUUGCAUGAAAGCUAAUUGUAAAGCUAAAGAACUAUUUAAGAUGAGCCACUGUAAUAAUUAAUUAAAAAAAAAAGUCUCCUCCCUCAGUAUGAUGUUCUUCGUAGUUAUGUCAUCAGGAGAAGUAUUACCCCUCCUUCUCCUUUACUUACAUACAUAACUGCAUACUCUAUCACAGCUUGACAGUAAAUUAAAUCAAAAUUAUGUGCUGGAUUUGUAUAGGAACCCAGGUGUUCAGAAGCACCAGACUGGUUUCAGAUGCAAUCAUUUCACUACUGAACUGAAAAUAUAUUCUGCUUAUGUUAUUUGAUAAAUAUUUUGGCAAUACGAUAAUAGCCUUGCUUUUGACAUUAUGAUAUUAAGUAAUGCGAUUGCUCUCAGUAGUCCUAUUAAAAUAAUUCUUACCUGGCCCUGCUGAACUUAUAAAUUUCAUGCAAGCUUUCUGGGUGUGUUGUCUGCAGAGUUUUAGGAACUGAGGGAGAUGCGUCUCAGGGACAAUGGAGAUACCACUGUAUAAUGCAGCAUUUAGCUUCAGAAUAGCUAAGAGGUUUAAAAAAAAAUAAUGAAGAAUGCCAUCUAAGUUCUUUCUCUAUAAGAUAGAAAAUCAACUCCUGGUAUGGCUUCAUUCACGCGUGACAGACACUGAUCAUAUCUAAUCAUAAUAAAUGCACAGGGACUACUCUUGCUUUUACUACUGACACAGAAAAUGCACCUUGGCUAUUAAUUCUCAUUUGUAUGUAAAUAUAAAUGAAUAAAUAUAUUAGGAGGA